rnacentral:snoRNA from 1 species
AAGACUAUGCUUUCAGGGAUCAUUUCUAUAGUUUCUGACUUGGAAGUUUGAUUUGAAAGUGUAACGUCUCUCUAGCUACGAUGACGAGUUAAGAUGCUUUCUUCUGAGCGUGGAUCGGGUGGUGAGCGACGAGCGAGAUUGUCUGCUCUCUGUCAUUGAUGAACGUUCCUGCUGUGCUUUGCAGUCUGGAAGAAGAAAGCAUGUUCAGAGUGGU